rnacentral:lncRNA from 1 species
GUGAUUUAAGCUGUUAAAGGUACCUGUAUAAACAUCUAGUUAAUACAGUUAAUAAUAUAGUUAAUAAUAGUUAAACUUGUAACUAAUUUAGGUACCUAUAUGUACCAAGAUUAAUAAUAAUCAUUCAAGAGGUUUUAAAUCUCAACAUGGUAUUAGAGUCUUAACGAUUCUGUUAAGCACUUGUCGAUUGUUUUCUCUUCUUUUUUUUCCUCCAUCAUCGUCUCUGUUGGCGACUGUUAAAUUGGAUUCCACCAUUUUUUUCUCUUGGAAGGCACAGACCAUAGCCAAUCUGAGAGGCUACGAUAUCCUUGGAUUCAUCGAACGUCUGGUAGAUGCGGCGGAUCUGCUUGCUGUCCAACAGGACCAGCGCUCCUUCUUGGGUGGCUUCUUUCCACGUUAUCUCCUGCCGUUCUUCCCCAAUUAGUCGCGACUUACACAAUGUCUCAUGAAAUCUGGACGACCCUUCCAAAGCAUCUUCAACAUCAAGUCAAAAUCGCGCGCGGUGGCUCUAGUUGAAGCACGAGUUGUCUACGUUCAAGAAAGGGAGCUUGUCCGGUGAUGAUUAUCUGGCCGUCUUAUCUAAGAAAGCCGAUGAAGUCAAGGACGCCGGGACUAACCUAGACGACGAAGAACUCGCGCUAAUUGCAUGUGAUGGCUUAGACUCGUCUUAUAAUGCUUUUGUGACCGUCGUAACUGCAUCGGCUGGGGACCUCACGUUCGUUGACUUCAGAGGCUUGUUUCGGGCGUUUGAAAAGAGGCACGCAUGGGAGACCGAAACCCCCUUUCCGUCUGCGAAUCUGGCACAGAGAAAUCCGUCCACUCCACGUUCAGGUGAGAUCUUGCCUCUUGGUGUGUCAAAUCUACUCCAAGCCAGCCGACUCCGUGAUCGCAUGUUUCAACCGACAUAAUGAACAAAGAUUCCCGACUCCACCGAAUCCUCAUCAUGGGAAAUAUAGGGGAAGAAACAACUUCAAGAUUCUGGAUGCUAAUGUUGGGUGGUAUACUGAUUCCAGGUGUACAGAUCAUGUUGCAAAUAUUAAAGAAAACCUAAUAACCUAAAGAAAUAUGGGGUCCGGCUCCUGUUGUAUCAGAAAAUCGUGAUAGAUUUUUUGUGAAUUUUGUGGAUGAUUUUACCCGUUUCAAUUGGUUGUUUGCAAUUCCUAGAAAAUCAUGUGUUAAAAAAGUUUUCCAGAGGUUUAAAAGUCUUGUUGAAAAUCAAUUAAACCGUACGUCUUUCAUUUAUAAAUUUCUUCCGAACUUCUCUAAUAACCAUCACAAGUUGUCUGACGACGUCUCUUCCCUCCUCCUUCCGGCGGUUUUCAUCUGCAGUACCUUCCAAUGUCUUUUGAUUUCCAUGUUAUAUGUGUUUUUAAGUGUUGCUUUAUCAAUUUUGUGUUUUUUAUUUUCGAACUGUGUAACGAUUCGUUGAACUGUGUUUUGAUUUUGUUUUCGACGAGUUUCCGACGAGAUCGGAAGAGUGUCGUUCGAUUAACAUUCCUGUAACUUUGUGCCUGGUGGAAUGUAAC